AAAUUGAAGAGUUUGAUCAUGGCUCAGAUUGAACGCUGGCGGCAGGCCUAACACAUGCAAGUCGAACGGUAACAGGAAGCAGCUUGCUGCUUUGCUGACGAGUGGCGGACGGGUGAGUAAUGUCUGGGAAACUGCCUGAUGGAGGGGGAUAACUACUGGAAACGGUGGCUAAUACCGCAUAACGUCGCAAGACCAAAGAGGGGGACCUUCGGGCCUCUUGCCAUCAGAUGUGCCCAGAUGGGAUUAGCUAGUUGGUGAGGUAACGGCUCACCAAGGCGACGAUCCCUAGCUGGUCUGAGAGGAUGACCAGCCACACUGGAACUGAGACACGGUCCAGACUCCUACGGGAGGCAGCAGUGGGGAAUAUUGCACAAUGGGCGCAAGCCUGAUGCAGCCAUGCCGCGUGUAUGAAGAAGGCCUUCGGGUUGUAAAGUACUUUCAGCGGGGAGGAAGGUGUUGUGGUUAAUAACCACAGCAAUUGACGUUACCCGCAGAAGAAGCACCGGCUAACUCCGUGCCAGCAGCCGCGGUAAUACGGAGGGUGCAAGCGUUAAUCGGAAUUACUGGGCGUAAAGCGCACGCAGGCGGUCUGUCAAGUCGGAUGUGAAAUCCCCGGGCUCAACCUGGGAACUGCAUUCGAAACUGGCAGGCUUGAGUCUUGUAGAGGGGGGUAGAAUUCCAGGUGUAGCGGUGAAAUGCGUAGAGAUCUGGAGGAAUACCGGUGGCGAAGGCGGCCCCCUGGACAAAGACUGACGCUCAGGUGCGAAAGCGUGGGGAGCAAACAGGAUUAGAUACCCUGGUAGUCCACGCCGUAAACGAUGUCUACUUGGAGGUUGUGCCCUUGAGGCGUGGCUUCCGGAGCUAACGCGUUAAGUAGACCGCCUGGGGAGUACGGCCGCAAGGUUAAAACUCAAAUGAAUUGACGGGGGCCCGCACAAGCGGUGGAGCAUGUGGUUUAAUUCGAUGCAACGCGAAGAACCUUACCUGGUCUUGACAUCCACAGAACUUUCCAGAGAUGGAUUGGUGCCUUCGGGAACUGUGAGACAGGUGCUGCAUGGCUGUCGUCAGCUCGUGUUGUGAAAUGUUGGGUUAAGUCCCGCAACGAGCGCAACCCUUAUCCUUUGUUGCCAGCGAUUAGGUCGGGAACUCAAAGGAGACUGCCAGUGAUAAACUGGAGGAAGGUGGGGAUGACGUCAAGUCAUCAUGGCCCUUACGACCAGGGCUACACACGUGCUACAAUGGCGCAUACAAAGAGAAGCGACCUCGCGAGAGCAAGCGGACCUCAUAAAGUGCGUCGUAGUCCGGAUUGGAGUCUGCAACUCGACUCCAUGAAGUCGGAAUCGCUAGUAAUCGUGGAUCAGAAUGCCACGGUGAAUACGUUCCCGGGCCUUGUACACACCGCCCGUCACACCAUGGGAGUGGGUUGCAAAAGAAGUAGGUAGCUUAACCUUCGGGAGGGCGCUUACCACUUUGUGAUUCAUGACUGGGGUGAAGUCGUAACAAGGUAACCGUAGGGGAACCUGCGGUUGGAUCACCUCCUUA
rnacentral:rRNA from 1 species